AUGGGAACGCGAAGAACCUUACCUAGACUUGACAUCUUCUGCAUUAAUCGUAAUGGGUGAAAUCCCUUCGGGGACAGAAUGACAGGUGGUGCAUGGUUGUCGUCAGCUCGUGUCGUGAGAUGUUGGGUUAAGUCCCGCAACGAGCGCAACCCCUAUUAUUAGUUGCUAACAUUAAGUUGAGCACUCUAGUGAGACUGCCCGGGUUAACCGGGAGGAAGGUGGGGAUGACGUCAAAUCAUCAUGCCCCUUAUGUCUAGGGCUACACACGUGCUACAAUGGUGGGAACAAAGAGAUGCAAUACCGCAAGGUGGAGCUAAACUCAAAACCCCAUCCCAGUUCGGAUUGUAGGCUGAAACUCGCCUACAUGAAGCUGGAGUUGCUAGUAAUCGCGAAUCAGAAUGUCGCGGUGAAUACGUUCCCGGGUCUUGUACACACCG
rnacentral:rRNA from 1 species